rnacentral:rRNA from 1 species
GAUGAACGCUGGCGGCGUGCUUAACACAUGCAAGUCGAACGGAAAGGCCAGUGCUUGCGCUGGUACUCGAGUGGCGAACGGGUGAGUAACACGUGGGUGAUCUGCCCUGCACUUCGGGAUAAGCUUGGGAAACUGGGUCUAAUACCGGAUAGGACCAUUGGUUGGUGCCUUUGGUGGAAAGUUUUUUCGGUGUGGGAUGAGCUCGUGGCCUAUCAGCUUGUUGGUGGGGUAAUGGCCUACCAAGGCGUCGACGGGUAGCCGGCCUGAGAGGGUGUACGGCCACAUUGGGACUGAGAUACGGCCCAGACUCCUACGGGAGGCAGCAGUGGGGAAUAUUGCACAAUGGGCGCAAGCCUGAUGCAGCGACGCCGCGUGGGGGAUGACGGCC